rnacentral:rRNA from 1 species
ACUGGUGCGCGAGAUGAGUAUUCUAAGGCGCUUGAGAGAACUCAGGAGAAGGAACUCGGCAAAUUGAUACCGUAACUUCGGGAGAAGGUAUGCCCCAAGUAGGUGAACUCGAACAGAGGGAGCCCAACGGGGUUGCAAAAAAUCGGUGGCUGCGACUGUUUAAUAAAAACACAGCACUCUGCAAACACGAAAGUGGACGUAUAGGGUGUGACGCCUGCCCGGUGCUGGAAGAUUAAAUGAUGGGGUGCAAGCUCUUGAUUGAAGUCCCAGUAAACGGCGGCCGUAACGAUAACGGUCCUAAGGUAGCGAAAUUCCUUGUCGGGUAAGUUCCGACCUGCACGAAUGGCGUAACGAUGGCCACACUGUCUCCUCCUGAGACUCAGCGAAGUUGAAAUGUUUGUGAUGAUGCAAUCUCCCCGCGGAAAGACGGAAAGACCCCAUGAACCUUUACUGUAGCUUUGUAUUGGACUUUGAACAGAUCUGUGUAGGAUAGGUGGGAGGCUUUGAAGUGAUGUCGCUAGAUGUCAUGGAGCCAACGUUGAAAUACCACCCUGGUGUGUUUGAGGUUCUAACCUAGGUCCAUUAUCUGGAUCGGGGACAGUGCAUGGUAGGCAGUUUGACUGGGGCGGUCUCCUCCCAAAGCGUAACGGAGGAGUUCGAAGGUACGCUAGUUACGGUCGGACAUCGUGACGAUAGUGCAAUGGCAUAAGCGUGCUUAACUGCGAGACUGACAAGUCGAGCAGAUGCGAAAGCAGGACAUAGUGAUCCGGUGGUUCUGUAUGGAAGGGCCAUCGCUCAACGGAUAAAAGGUACUCUGGGGAUAACAGGCUGAUACCGCCCAAGAGUUCAUAUCGACGGCGGUGUUUGGCACCUCGAUGUCGGCUCAUCUCAUCCUGGGGCUGUAGCCGGUCCCAAGGGUAUGGCUGUUCGCCAUUUAAAGAGGUACGUGAACUGGGUUUAAAACGUCGUGAGACAGUUUGGUCCCUAUCUUCCGUGGGCGCUGCAGAUUUGAGGAAGCCUGCUCCUAGUACGAGAGGACCGGAGUGGACACACCUCUGGUGUAUCGGUUGUCACGCCAGUGGCAUUGCCGAGUAGCUAAGUGUGGAAGAGAUAACCGCUGAAAGCAUCUAAGCGGGAAACUCGUUUCAAGAUGAGAUCUGCCGGGGCCUUGAGCCCCCUGAAGAGUCGUUCAAGACCAGGACGUUGAUAGGUCAGGUGUGGAAGCG